AUUUGAAUAUUUUAAUUAAAAUUUCAGUUUGUGGAGCUGAAGAUGUACUAGUUACUUCAGAUA
rnacentral:tRNA from 1 species